rnacentral:lncRNA from 1 species
GGGGAAGACUGGGGUCCUGGUGUUGGAGGAGAGAGGAGCUUGUUCAGCCCAGUCUGGAGUGGCAUGCUCUUUUUGGUUCAGCCCAAAGACACAGGCUUCUAAAGGUACCUGGCCUUUGAUAAACACCUUAGGGGACCUUUUGCAAGUGGAAGCAUUAUUUAUUGAUGAAGAAAAGGCAAUGCCAUUAGGAAUAGGAGGAUAACAUUUAAAAAGGCCUCCAAAUCUGCUAAGACACAACAAUAUGGAAAUUAGGCCAAUUAAAAACCCUGCAAUGCUCUUUAUGUUCAAGUGAAAGGAGGAGUCAAUCACAAAGGCAAACUUCAUUAUUGUCUUAUUUUAAGACAUUAACACAAACACCCCAAUCUUCAGCAACCAUCACCUUGAUCCAGCAGCCAACAACAUUGAGGCAGAAAGAUUAAAAUUCACAGAAGACUCAGAUACUGGUAAGUAUUUUUUAGCAAUAAAGUUUUUUUUAAAAAUUAAGGUAUGUACA